rnacentral:tRNA from 3 species
CGCGGAGUAGAGCAGCCCGGUAGCUCGCGAGGUUCAUUCCCUCGAGGUCGUGUGGUUCAAAUCCCACCUCCGCAA